GAAAGAUGGCUUUGGCUAUCACUCUGGGAUGGACCUGCGGUGCAUUAGCUAGUUGGUAAGGUAACGGCUUACCAAGGCGAUGAUGCAUAGCCGAGUUGAGAGACUGAUCGGCCACAAUGGAACUGAGACACGGUCCAUACUCCUACGGGAGGCAGCAGUAGGGAAUCUUCCACAAUGGGCGCAAGCCUGAUGGAGCAACACCGCGUGAGUGAAGAAGGGUUUCGGCUCGUAAAGCUCUGUUGUUGGAGAAGAACGUGCGUGAGAGUAACUGUUCACGCAGUGACGGUAUCCAACCAGAAAGUCACGGCUAACUACGUGCCAGCAGCCGCGGUAAUACGUAGGUGGCAAGCGUUAUCCGGAUUUAUUGGGCGUAAAGCGAGCGCAGGCGGUUGCUUAGGUCUGAUGUGAAAGCCUUCGGCUUAACCGAAGAAGUGCAUCGGAAACCGGGCGACUUGAGUGCAGAAGAGGACAGUGGAACUCCAUGUGUAGCGGUGGAAUGCGUAGAUAUAUGGAAGAACACCAGUGGCGAAGGCGGCUGUCUGGUCUGCAACUGACGCUGAGGCUCGAAAGCAUGGGUAGCGAACAGGAUUAGAUACCCUGGUAGUCCAUGCCGUAAACGAUGAGUGCUAGGUGUUGGAGGGUUUCCGC
rnacentral:rRNA from 1 species